GAUGAACGCUAGCUACAGGCUUAACACAUGCAAGUCGAGGGGUAACGAGAGGAAAGCUUGCUUUCCUUGUCGACGACCGGCGCACGGGUGAGCAACGCGUAUCCAACCUGCACCCAACUAGGGAAUAACCUUGCGAAAGUAAGACUAAUACCCUAUAAUUUCCUCAGAUGACAUCUGACGAGGAAUAAAGAAUUAUCGGUUGUGGAUGGGGAUGCGUCGGAUUAGCUUGUUGGCGGGGUAACGGCCCACCAAGGCAACGAUCAGUUGGGGUUCUGAGAGGAAGGUCCCCCACAUUGGAACUGAGACACGGUCCAAACUCCUACGGGAGGCAGCAGUGAGGAAUAUUGGUCAAUGGGCGGAAGCCUGAACCAGCCAAGUAGCGUGCAGGAUGACGGCCCUAUGGGUUGUAAACUGCUUUUAUACAGGAAUAAAGUUAGCCACGUGUGGUUAUUUGUAGGUACUGUAUGAAUAAGGACCGGCUAAUUCCGUGCCAGCCGCCGCCGUAA
rnacentral:rRNA from 1 species